UCUCCCUAUUUUUGGCGUCGUUCCCUCUUUUCUCUCCACCUCUUUUUUUUUUUUCUUUGCCUUAACCCGAAAGCGGAGAAUACUUUCCCCUCUGGCUGCCAUCUCAGAUGGUCCCGACAAAGGGCCGAUGACCCCCCAUGGCUCCCUAACUUUCUCCUUUUAAACCCUUGUUACACGAAACCACAAAAACCCAAAUAAAACCCUUACAAACCCUCACCCUAAAAUAUUACCUUGGAUGCUUUGAGGACUCCCUCCACUCCGGUGAAGCAAAAGAGGACCGGAAUCGAGGGAUCUCCUCAUCUUUAUGGCCUCUUUGCGUGUUUGGUGAGAUUUUGCAUGGCUAUCAUCACAGGUUUGACAGAGAGAUGAUGACAUUAGCGGUUGAAAUGGCGACUGUUAGGUGGCCGGAGCGGCAGCAGCGGGGGUUCUUUGCUCUAGUGGUGGCGGCGGCUGGUAGAGACUAGGGUUUAAAACCCCUAACUAAUUAGGGUUAGUGCAUUGGGCCUGGAUUUGGGCUUUGGUUCAUAAACUUUCAUAAAAUUUUAAUAUGGUCCCUAAUCAUUAUCUCAACUUGAGAUGUAUUAAUGAUUGAUAAAUCUGUUUAUUUGGUCAUGUAUUUGUGUUUUUAAUUUUAUAAUAGGUAUGAUUAUUGAA